AAAGGACCAGUAUGAAAAACAAUAUGCCGAGAAAGUGGAAGAAAAAUUAAAUGUCAACAUUUCAGCUUUGCUUAA
rfam:Myotis brandtii contig246985, whole genome shotgun sequence.